rnacentral:rRNA from 1 species
UACAGAGGGUGCGAACGUUGUUCGGAAUUACUGGGCGUAAAGCGCGUGUAGGCGGCUGCGCAAGUCGGGCGUGAAAUCCCACGGCUCAACCGUGGAAGUGCACUCGAAACUGCGCAGCUAGAGUCCUGGAGAGGAAGGUGGAAUGCUUGGUGUAGAGGUGAAAUUCGUAGAUAUCAGGCGGAACACCGGUGGCGAAGGCGGCCUUCUGGACAGUGACUGACGCUGAGACGCGAAAGCGUGGGGAGCAAACAGG